GAACACCUUAGAGACGGCCUGUUUAGCAGAAUUCCCCCUGAAGGGAAAGGAAAUAUGAAAUUUGACAACAACAAGGAAGCAAAUGGCAAUUAUUAAACAACACCAUAACAGGGAAGAAAGAAUGAAGUAUAGAAACAAAGAUGCAUCUACUGUAUAUAAAACCAAAUACGUAACAACAAUAUUACUUGCUGCAAGAUCUGAAUUAGCAAAGAUCUAAAAUGACAGCAGUUGAAAUGAAGUAGCUAAGGUCAGUGGUAGAUAAAACAAAAAGGGACGGGCAAGAAAGAAAAGGAUCUGUGAAGAACUGGAAAUGCAGACAACCAUGGAAACUAUAAAAACGAAACAGCUACAACAGUAUGGACAUGAAAUAAGAAAAAAGAAAUGAAACAAGGAGACCAAAAAACGUGUUGGAAAUGAAGUGCAUCGAAAAAAGACCAAAGGGGAAGAAAACAUGAAAGAUGAAAUCAGAAAGAGGGGUAAAACCAUGGAAUAAAUGAAGAUCCUGGCAAAAGACAGAAUUAAAUAUAAUCGAUGGCUCAACACCCCAACACUGCAAUGUAUAUGUGAUGGCCAGCCACAGCCAUGGUGACCUCCCUUUAUUUGGAGUCUCAAUAGUCAUGACCUGAGGACUAACCAGGAACGGAAGAUUGACAGCCACUCCACCUCUGAUAUCAUUUUUCACUUUCCGCUCUCCUGGACCCGCCCUUUUCUGCUAACUGAACAUAUAUAUCUGGAAAAGGCCUUCUCAUUCCAGUUCACUUCUGAGCUCCCACCUGAAAAUGACCUACACCACAGCUUGUUGCAUGCUUUAUUAUUUUCAACUUUUUCAAUUAUACGAGAUCACCUAGGAGGUGGCCCAGCUCUUAUCCUGAUGUGGCACUGCUGUACUGCCAAGCUGUUCCCCUGCCCAUGAAAGUGUCACCCUAGAUAAAGAAGCACUGGAUUCAUCAUAUGGAAAGACUCUCUCAUUAGACUGGA